rnacentral:rRNA from 1 species
GAUGAACGCUGGCGGCGUGCCUAAUACAUGCAAGUCGAGCGAACGGACGAGAAGCUUGCUUCUCUGAUGUUAGCGGCGGACGGGUGAGUAACACGUGGAUAACCUACCUAUAAGACUGGGAUAACUUCGGGAAACCGGAGCUAAUACCGGAUAAUAUUUUGAACCGCAUGGUUCAACAGUGAAAGACGGUCUUGCUGUCACUUAUAGAUGGAUGCGCGCUGCAUUAGCUAGUUGGUAAGGUAACGGGUUACCAAGGCAACGAUGGAUAGCCGGACCUGGAGGGUUGACCGGCCCAACGGGAACUGGAACACGGUCAAGACUCUAACGGAGGCCAGCGUUAGGAAACUUCCGACAAUGGCGGAAGGCCGGCGGCGCAAAGGCGGGUGGGUGGAGAAAGUUCUUGGGAUCGUAAGAUUCGUUGAAUGGGGAGGAAGAGAGUGAGAGUGGAAAGUUCACACCGUGACGGUACCUUGACAGAAAGCGACGGCUAACUACGUG